AGUGAACGCUGGCGGUAGGCCUAACACAUGCAAGUCGAACGGCAGCACAGUAAGAGCUUGCUCUUACGGGUGGCGAGUGGCGGACGGGUGAGGAAUACAUCAGAAUCUACUUUUUCGUGGGGGAUAACGUAGGGAAACUUACGCUAAUACCGCAUACGACCUACGGGUGAAAGCAGGGGAUCUUCGGACCUUGCGCGAUUGAAUGAGCCGAUGUCGGAUUAGCUAGUUGGCGGGGUAAAGGCCCACCAAGGCGACGAUCCGUAGCUGGUCUGAGAGGAUGAUCAGCCACACUGGAACUGAGACACGGUCCAGACUCCUACGGGAGGCAGCAGUGGGGAAUAUUGGACAAUGGGCGCAAGCCUGACCCAGCCAUACCGCGUGGGUGAAGAAGGCCUUCGGGUUGUAAAGCCCUUUUGUUGGGAAAGAAAAGCAGCAGGUUAAUACCCCGCUGUUCUGACGGUACCCAAAGAAUAAGCACCGGCUAACUUCGUG
rnacentral:rRNA from 1 species